GGCGGCGGCUCCGGAGCAACAGGGCCGGCUCGGAGCGCCCGGGGCGCGGUGCCGCGGGCUGGCCCAGCUCCCGGCUCCCGGUUCCUCCCAGCUUCUCCUGGUGCCCCCGGUGCUCCGUCCGGCGGCUGCUCGGCCGCGUCCCCCCGAGCCGCACAACAAGUGGAUGGAGCGGGCAGGAGCGGGCUGAGCCCCGGACGUGUCGGGGGCAGGCUCCGCACGGAGCCGCCACCCCCGUCCUGCCGCCGCUGGAGCGCUGCGCACGGAUUACCCAGCGCAGCUGUACAGAGCCGGCUUGGGGAUCGCGCCUGCACCUUCGUUCCGCCUCGCACACGACAAGCACACGCACACCGCCUUCGAUUUUCCCUCCGGGGACCAGAGCCUCGCUCGCUGCCUGGUCGCCAAUGCCGAGGCGAGCGGGAGCGGCGGUGGCGAGUGCCCCCAGCCCCAGCCGCCUCCCCGGCUCGCUGCCGGCAAGAAGGGGCAGGAAUAACUCGCCAACCUGUGGUGCGCGCUGACCACGGCCACCUGCGACUGUGCAUGAGCCGGCACAGCCUCCUCAGGACUGCUGUCACCCGGUCCUUACCCCGGCGGGGACAGCGCUGCUAUUUCUCUGCCGAGCAUCAGUUAAGUGCUUCUUCUGCAUGACCAUAACCAAAGGGUGACCCAUCCACUCCCUUAUGUCCUAUGGGGACCUCAGAGCCAGUUUCUCAGUCUUCAUCUCCUCCUCCUCCUCCUCCACUCCUCCUCCUCCUCUUACCACUGCUGCUGAUGCCCUGGGUGCUGCUCCCAGGUUUGAGACAUUGUUGACAGGCUGAAGAAAGGAUUUGCAAAGACCUCCUCACUGUGUAAAUGAAGUGAUGGCUGGAAUUAACUUCAACUCUCCAAGUAAAUAUAUUAAAUAGUAAGUUUACUAGGCCAAAGCAUUACCAGGAACAAAUAAUGAGGAAAGAGACUAUUUGCAUUUGGUUUCAACGAUGAGCUAAAACCGUCUGUGGAGAACAGGUACCUUUUGGGUUGCAUAUUUUUUUUUUUCCUGAGGAAUGCAGCCUUUAUAGCCUGUGAGGCAGUCAUGAUUCUGAUCAGAUACAGCCGUGAUUGCUGCAGGAGAUAAAUGAAAAUAAAGAGACUUGGUGGAUGGAAGAACGAGGUCUCAGCUGUUCUCUGGUUCAUUUUGAGAAUUUCAUCUUUUCUCAUUAGCAAAGCAGUACUUUGUGUCAAACAUCCCGGAGAACAAGAAAAAUGCAGAUCUGUGGUUUCCCAAAAUACAGACUCAGCGUUACAACCAUGUUGCCAUACUCGAUGCCCAGGGGACUGCCCUCCAAACUCAAAUGGCUUUGAACUCCCCGGCCAAAGCUAAGGCGACACUGUAAACAAAACAAAACCUUCUUACAGCAAGCGAUUACAACA
rnacentral:lncRNA from 1 species